UCUACUCGUCCAACAUGUUUUGGAGUGUCCUUCUCCUCCUCUAUUGCUGCUCAGGUGCCACUUCACAGUCCACCUUGACUCAGCCUGCCUCCCUGUCUGAGUCUCUAGGAGGGACAGUUAAACUCUCCUGUGCCAGCAGCAGCAGUCCAAACCGAAUUCACUGGCUUCAGCAGAGAUCUGGAGGAGUUCCUCGCUUUGUGCACUGUGAUGGCUGCAGCAUCUGGGGACCAGGGAUCACGGACCGAUUCAUGGCAACCCGAUCAGGCAACAACGGCUACUUAACCAUCACCGACCUUCGGGCUGAAGACGAGGCCAAUUAUCACUGUUACAUGUGGUAUAGCAGUGGUUCAGAGCUCCACAACCUCCAGGUGACCCACCUCAACUAA